rnacentral:rRNA from 1 species
UACGGAGGAUGCAAGCGUUAUCCGGAUUUAUUGGGUUUAAAGGGUGCGCAGGUGGUUUAAUAAGUCAGUGGUGAAAGUCUGCCGCUUAACGGUAGGAUUGCCAUUGAUACUGUUGGACUUGAAUAUGGAUGAGGCAGGCGGAAUGUGUAGUGUAGCGGUGAAAUGCUUAGAUAUUACACAGAACACCGAUUGCGAAGGCAGCUUACUAAUCCAUGAUUGACGCUGAGGCACGAAAGCGUGGGGAUCAAACAGGA